rnacentral:rRNA from 1 species
CCUACGGGUGGCAGCAGUGGGGAAUAUUGCACAAUGGGGGAAACCCUGAUGCAGCGACGCCGCGUGAGGGAAGAAGUAUCUCGGUACGUAAAGCUCUAUCAGCAGGGACGAAACUGACGGUACCUGACUAAGAAGCCGCGGCUAACUACGUGCCAGCAGCCGCGGUAAUACGUAGGGGGCAAGCGUUAUCCGGAUUUACUGGGUGUAAAGGGAGCGUAGACGGCAGUACAAGUAUGGAGUGAAAUCCCGGGGCUGAACCCCGGACCUGCUUUGGAAACUGUGCGGCUGGAGUGCAGGAGGGGUAAGCGGAAUUCCGAGUGUAGCGGUGAAAUGCGUAGAUAUUAGGAGGAACACCGGUGGCGAAGGCGGCUUACUGGACUGUAACUGACGUUGAGGCUCGAAAGCGUGGGGAGCAAACAGGAUUAGAUACCCCUGUAGUC